UACAGAGGGUGCGAGCGUUAUCCGGAUUCACUGGGUUUAAAGGGUGCGUAGGUGGGCAGGUAAGUCAGUGGUGAAAUCUCCGAGCUUAACUCGGAAACUGCCGUUGAUACUAUUUGUCUUGAAUAUUGUGGAGGUAAGCGGAAUAUGUCAUGUAGCGGUGAAAUGCUUAGAUAUGACAUAGAACACCAAUUGCGAAGGCAGCUUACUACACAACGAUUGACGCUGAGGCACGAAAGCGUGGGGAUCAAACAGG
rnacentral:rRNA from 1 species